rnacentral:ribozyme from 14 species
UACGUAAUAAAACACACAACGCAACAAACAAACGCACACAUACAUCAUCAUUAUCAUUAAGCAGCGGGAAUUUUCUUUCAUUUCUUUUUUUUGCUUCUUUUUUCUUGCUUUAUUGUUGGAAUUUGUGACUGCUGCUUUCUUCAACACCACUCAUGCAGACCCUUGUUUGUUAAAUAGCGAAUAAUAAUAAUAAUGACGAUGAAUGAUCAAUUGAU